UACGAAGGGUCCAAGCGUUAUCCGGAUUUAUUGGGUUUAAAGGGUGCGUAGGCGGCUUAUUAAGUCAGUGGUGAAAGACUUCAGCUUAACUGAAGAACUGCCAUUGAUACUGAUGAGCUUGAGUACAGUUGAGGUGGGCGGAAUGCGUCAUGUAGCGGUGAAAUGCUUAGAUAUGACACAGAACACCGAUUGCGAAGGCAGCUCGCUAAACUGUAACUGACGCUGAUGCACGAAAGCGUGGGGAGCAAACAGG
rnacentral:rRNA from 1 species